GUCGUUUUACAACGUGAGCCACCCGCCUCGGAGACCGGAAUAACUCGAGGAAAUUCGGGUUAAUGCCGGAUGCCCUCGGUGGAUUUCCGGUCCGGCGAGGAAAAGGAUUCCGCUCCGAGAUGGGCUCGCGGCCUAUCAGCUUGUUGGUGGGGUAACGGCCUACCAAGGCGACGACGGGUAGCUGGUCUGAGAGGACGAUCAGCCACACUGGGACUGAGACACGGCCCAGACUCCUACGGGAGGCAGCAGUAGGGAAUCUUGCGCAAUGGGGGAAACCCUGACGCAGCGACGCCGCGUGCGGGAGGAAGGCCUUCGGGUCGUAAACCGCUUUCAGCAGGGACGAAAUUGACGGUACCUGCAGAAGAAGGCCCGGCCAACUACGUGCCAGCAGCCGCGGUGAUACGUAGGGGUCUAGCGUUGUCCGGAAUUAUUGGGCGUAAAGAGCUCGUAGGCGGUUCGGCAAGUCGGAUGUGAAAUCUCCACGCUUAACGUGGAGGGGCCAUUCGAAACUGCCGUGACUCGAGUCCGGUAGGGGAGUGCGGAAUUCCCGGUGUAGCGGUGAAAUGCGCAGAUAUCGGGAGGAACACCAGUGGCGAAGGCGGCACUCUGGGCCCGGAACUGACGCUGAGGAGCGAAAGCGUGGGGAGCGAACAGGAUUAGAUACCCUGGUAGUCCACGCCGUAACGUUGGGCACUAGGUGUGGGGCUCUAUCGACGGGUUCCGUGCCGUA
rnacentral:rRNA from 1 species